rnacentral:rRNA from 1 species
GAUGAACGCUAGCUACAGGCUUAACACAUGCAAGUCGCGGGGCAGCAUGGGGGUUGCUUGCAAUCCCCGAUGGCGACCGGCGCACGGGUGAGUAACGCGUAUCCAACCUGCCCUUCACCACGGGAUAACCCGGCGAAAGUCGGACUAAUACCGUAUGUUGUCCAUUGACGGCAUCCGAUUUGGACGAAAGGUUUGGCGGUGAAGGAUGGGGAUGCGUCCGAUUAGCUGGACGGCGGGGUGACGGCCCACCGUGGCGACGAUCGGUAGGGGUUCUGAGAGGAAGGUCCCCCACACUGGAACUGAGACACGGUCCAGACUCCUACGGGAGGCAGCAGUGAGGAAUAUUGGUCAAUGGGCGUAAGCCUGAACCAGCCAAGUAGCGUGCAGGAUGACGGCCCUAUGGGUUGUAAACUGCUUUUAUGCGGGGAUAAAGUGGCCCACGUGUGGGUUUUUGCAGGUACCGCAUGAAUAAGGACCGGCUAAUUCCGUG